CUUGUAGAAGUGGCAGACGGCUGUAUGUUUAGCAAGCUAGUACGCCAUUGGCUAAAAAUCCAAUUACACUCUUCUGACAUGCGGUCAUUGGGUAAACAAACGUAAGAUCCAAACAGGCUAUGUAUAUGAGGAAAAUAUAUAAGCUUCUGAAUGAGCCACGCUCUUAAUAACGUGAACAGUAAAUAAUGGCCGAAAAUGAAAAGGCAGUUUGCGCGAACGUCAACGAGCAAGGGAAAGGAGAUGAGAAAGAAACUAACGAAACAAAGCCAGAAAGUGUAGGAACAAUACUCCAAGAUAUGUAUGUCCUGCAGAAGAUUGUCAGCUUUCUAAAGUACUUUGGCUUGUUUCUUUUUGUGUGGCUGCUCGGUUGGUUUGGCUUUAGCUGUCAGUGGGUUUUGAUUGCGGCCAUCGGCUUCUAUAUAGUCAGAACCAAGCAGGAGCAACGCGACUGGAAACAAAAGGUUGGACAAGCUUUGGCAAAAGAUGAAGAAAUAGUUAUCCGGGCUCGUUUGAGAGAUUUGCCAUCAUGGGUA